UUAGCCUUGGGAAGGAUGAGCAUGAUAUAGCUUCGGCUCCUCAGCAGCGGCUGAUGCUCGUCAAUAAAUCAGUCAGAUUUUUAAUUAUCGGACACAUGACAGGAAGCCGUGACAGGCCCACGUCCGCGGGAGAGUCUUCUGUCAAAGCGGCUUUGAAACAGAACAGCGCUCAUAGACGAGAGCCACAUGGGUCGUUAAUAAGAACAGCCCGGAUAGAGAAAGAGAGAGAGAGAAAAAGAAUGUGGAUCACACUGCACCCGCAGGUUCAAGAUGGGCAUUUAGCUUCUGAAGGUUCACAGAGUCCGGCCAGUGGAGUCGACCGAGGGUAGGACCAGGGGAUCAACGCCAGCCCAAGAUUCAGCAGGAUCUCUCCAGAGGUCUGCGAGCAGUAAGAGACUACGGAGCCCGUCACCAAGGAGCUGGCCCUCCUAGUUUUCAGCGUUCGUCCUCCGACACCCUUCCCCCGGUCGGGGCCCAUGAAUCAUCCCGUCAUUGCAUCGAGGACCCUGACGCUUCUCCUCUAACGCAGGGCAGCCAGCCUCAGCAAUCUUUCUUCAUUCUCGCUAACAAUUUGGUAAUGAAAUAUUGAUUUUUAGUUAGAUUCAAAUAACUUUAUUAAGUUUGCAUUGAUAAAUCGUCCCCUCAGCUGGCCUGGAAGUGCCUCAGUCAAAAAGGGCCUAACCACACCGUUACAGCUGCUGAUGUUUUCAUCGGAUGCUUUUGGUCGCUCCUUCUCUGAUUCACAUGAAGAUCCUAGUGUCUGUCAUAAUUGCUGUGGGAUCAGGGCCAAUGUGUCAUUGCUGUUGAUAUAUUUCAGAAGAGGAAAUAAAAGUAGGAAGGCAUACGCACAGUCAGAGGCGACAUUUCGUAUCUCCACACACCACUCAUUAAAAGAAAGCCCUGGAGCUUGAUAUAUGGAGGGGAGACUUGUAUUUCCUUUCUAAAAUUUUGUUUCCCCACAUUUUUGACAGUGAUUAGUGAUUAAUAGCUCCUGUUCAUAUUUGAGAUAUUACACAUCUCUUUCCAGGUGACACAUUUUAAAGUAAAUUGUUGGACUACUCAAGAUAUUGUUCAAUGGUUCGGUAUAAGCAUUAAGGAUGCUUUGUACUGUAUUAUAUAUCUAUAGUGCAUUAGAGAUGAGAGCUUCAUAAGGCAGUCAUAAUGUAUAAUAAACAUGCCUAUAAUAUGCUUUUUUAUAAGUAUUUAUAUCCAUGUUUAUAAUUCUUUAUGAAUACAUUAUGAAUGUGUUUAGAAAUUGCUAAAAAGGCCUUUACCUUUGUCAUAUGAUAGUUUUCUGUUCCUAUCUUUUAUAUUAAAUGGGUCGGUGCCGACCCGUGUCUUAAAUCAGCCAUAAAAUACCCUCAAAACAA